ensembl:lncRNA
CAACACUGAAUUUUCUCCACCUUACACUUCAAACGAACGUACUAGUUGACUUUUCCUGUCGGCGGGUAUUGCAUCGUUAUUUGUGAUUACCAGAAAUAAGAAGGAUCAUGAAUGGAAUUUGAGGUCGAUUUGUAUUCUCAAGUAGGUGGGUCAGCUAUGGCGGUGGCGGUCUAUGAAGAAACUGAAUGCAGAAAACUGCCCUGCACAGGACACAAAUCUUCCACCAGAAACAAGCUCAGCACUGGAAUCUGGUACCUCCAUCUCUAGCAGUAGAGAGGUGUUGCCAGCUCCACCAACAGCUAUCCUGGAGAAUAUGAAUGAAUCUGGAGAGCUAAACCUGAACUUGGCUGAGGGAGGCAAGGGUGGGGGAAGAGUGUAGAGAGGGUAUUCACUGGUGAUGAGGAUACAAGUGGGAUUGUUAAAGAGCUGAGUUGGAACUCCGGUUACCGUGAUAAGGAGGAAAGGAGAGAUGCUUUCUCAGAGGGUGUGAGUGACACAGUCAGUGCAGAGUGGAGAGAGGGAGACUGCUUUGUCCCAGUUGGAGUAGAGGUGACUGAGAUGGCUGCUGAGGGGGAGUUUGAAGAUGGGAUGAGAGCUGAAAUGAAAGAGGGAAAGGGGACAAACAGUUAUGAGUCAGGGGAGGAGUUGGUUGCUGAGAGGGCUGUGAAGAGAAAGAUACAGAGGGAAAACUAGUCCUAGAGAAAGAACACAAGGUGGCUCCCAAGAGGAAGAAUAUAAGGAAACGCAGACGAUCAGCCAAACCUCAAUGUGACAAAGAGGCAAAUUCCAGUGCUUCCUUUGUAGAGACUGUUCUCUCAUGGCUACUGUCAGUCUUCCUAUGGCUGCAGGCAUUCUCACCAACAAUGUUAUGCUGGUCCCCAAAUAGUUUAUUUUGUAUAGUCAUGCUCGGGGUGGCAUCUGGCACUGGGGGUGUCUUUACAAGCACCGAUCACCAGAGUUUGUCAUGCAUCGCCUGCAAGAGUCCUGGAUGUGCUGCUGAUGUGACUAAGAUAUGGUGUGGAGAGGAUGAACUGUUGAAGGGGUUUACUGAUCCCACUCUGCACAAGCAUUUCCCAAAAGUCCAAGACUGUUUGCCAGCAUGCUGGUCGGACAUUUGUGCUUAUGAUUGAAGAGGGCAAGAAGUGUGAUAUGGAACAAUAUCAUGACCAUGUGCCCUCUGAAAAGACAGAGUGUCCAUCAUUGUUGGAGGCUGCUCAAGACUCAAGGUGACACCACUUUGUCAGCACCAACUCUCAAUGGUGAGCUAUAACAGAAGGGUUAGGUUUUAACUGUGUAUUAUUCUGAAUUAUUAACUAGGUAGUUCGAGCCCUGAAUGCCGAUUGGCUGACAGCUGUGGUAUAUCAGACCGUAUUCCACGGAUAUGACAGAACAUGUAUUUUUACUGAUCUAAUUACAUUGGUAACCAGUUUAUAGUAGCCAUAAGGCACCUCAGGGGUUUGUGGUAUAUGGCCAAUAUGUCACGGCUAAGGUCUGUAUCCAGGCACUCCAUGUUGCAUUGUGCAUAAGAACAGGCCUUAGGCGGGGUAUAUUGGCCAUAUACCAUAUCGAGUCGUGGCUGAACGACUACGCGGACAAUAUAGAGCUGGAGGGAUUUUCAAUGCACCGGCAGAACCGAGAAGCUAUGUCUGGUAAGACAAGGGGUGGGGUUGUGUCUUUUUAUCAAUAACAGCUGGUGCACGAUGUCUAAUAUAAAACAAGGGAUUGCUCGCCUGAGGUAGAGUACCUUAUCAUAAGCUGUAGACCACACUAUCUACCAAGAGUUCUCAUCUAUAUUAUUCGUAGCCGUCUACAUACCACCACAGACCGAUGCUGGCACUAAGAGCUCACUCAACCAACUCUAUAAGGCCAUAAGCAACAAAGAAAAUGCUCACCUAGAAGUGGCACUCCUAGUGGCCUGGGACUUUAAUGCAGGCAAACUUAAAUCUGUUUUACCAAAUUUUUACGAGCAUGUCACAUGUGCAACCAGAGGGGGGAAAAAAACUCUAGACCACCUUUACUCCACACAUAGAAACGCAUACAAAGCUCUCCCCCGCCCUCCAUUUGGCAAAUCUGACCAUAGUUCUAUCCUCCUGAUUCCUGCUUACAAGAAAAAAUGAAAUCAGGAAGUACCAGUGACUCGCUCAAUACAGAAGUGGUCAGAUGAUGCGGAUGCUACGCUAAAGGACUGUUUUGCUAGCACAGACUGGAAUAUGUUCUGGGAUUCAUCCAAUGGCAUUGAGGAGUAUAUCACCUCAGUCAUCGGCUUCAUCAAUAAGUGCAUCAACAACGACGUCGUCUCCACGGUGACCGUACGUACAUAUCCAAACCAGAAGCCAUGGAUUACAGGCAACAUCUGCAUCGAGCUAGAGGCAGGGCUUAAACUAUUACGGACUACAAAGGGAAACCCAGACACGAGCUGCCCAGUGACGCGGGCCUACCGGAGGAGCUAAAUGCCUUUUUAUGCUCGUUUCAAGGCAAGCAACACUGAAGCAUGCACGAGAGCACUAGCUGUUUGGAUGACUGUGUGAUAAUGCUCUCGGUAGCCAAUGUGAGAAAGACCUUUAAACAGGUCAACAUUCACAAAGCUGCGGAGCCAGAUGGAUUACCAGGACAUGUACUUGUACCAGACCUUCAGUUUCUUGGCAAUUUCUCACAUGGAAUAGCCUUCAUUUCUCAGAACAAGAAUAGACUGAUGAGUUUCAGAAGAAAGUUAUUUGUUUCUGGCCAUUUUGUGCCUGUAAUCGAACCCAUAAAUGCUGAUGCUCAAGAUACUCAACUAAUCUAAAGGACAGUUUUAUUGCUUCUUUAAACAGAACAACAGUUUACAGCUGUGCCAACAUAAUUGCAGAAGGAAUUUCUAAGAAUCAGUUAGCCUUUUUAAAAUGAUAAACUUGGAUUAGCUAACACAACGUGCCUUUGGAACACAGGAGUGAUGGUUGCUGAUAAUGGGCCUCUGUACACCUAUGUAGAUAUUCCAUUAAAAAUCAGCUGUUUCCAGCUAUAAUAGUCAUUUACUACAUUAACAAUGUCUACACUGUAUUUCUGAUCAAUUUGAUGUUAUUUUAAUUGACCAAAAAUGUGUUUCUUUCAAAAACAAGGACAUUUUAUAAAUGACCCCAAACUUUUGAACGGUAUUGUAUGUGAGAAUGCUGUUCAUUGACUACAGCUCAGCAUUCAACACCAUAGUCCCCACGAAGCUCAUCACUAAGCUAAGAACCCUGGGACUAAAUACCUCCCUCUGCAACUGGAUCCUCGACUUGCUGACUGUCUGUCCCCAGGUGGUAAGGAUAGGCAACCACACGUCUGCCACGCUGAUCCUCAACACUGGGGCCCUUCAGGGGUGUGUACUUAGUCCCCUCCUGUACUUCCUGUCCACCCACGACUGCGUGGCCAAACACGACUGCAACACCAUCAUUAAGUUUGCUGACUACACAACAGUGAUCACUGACAACGAUGAGACGGCCUAUAGGGAGGAGGUCAGAGAACUGGCAGUGUAGUGCCAGGACAAGAACCUCUCCCUCAACGUGAGCAAGACAAAGGCGCUGAUCGUGGACUACAGGAAAAGGUGGCCGAACAAGUCCCCUUUAACAUUAACUGGGCUGUAGUGGAGCGGGUCGAUAGUUUCAAGUUCCUUGGUGUCCACAUCACCAAUGAUCUAUCAUGGUCCAAACACACCAAGACAGUCAUGAAGAGGGCACGACAAAACCUUUUUCCCCCUCAGGAGACUGAAAAGAUUUGGCAUGGGUCCCCAGAUCCUCAAAGUUCAACAGCUGCAUCAUCGAGAGCUCUGGUUGCAUCACCACCUGGUAUGGCAACUGCUCAGCAUCUGACCAUAAGGCGCUACUGAGGGUGGUGCGUAUGGCCCAGUACAUCACUGGAGCCAAGCUUCCCGCAAUCCAGGACCUAUAUAAUAGCCAUACGACUGCUGAACAAUUAAUCAAAUGGCCAUCAGACUAUUACAUUUACAAUCCCCCCUUUGUUUUGUAUACUGCUGCUAACUGUUUAUUACCUAUGCAUAGUCACUUCACCCCUACCUACAUGUACAAAUUACCUGUACCCACGCACACUGACUCGGUACCGGUACCCCCUGUAUAUAGCCUAUUUAUUGUUAUGUUAUUAUUAUUUUUUACUUUAGUUUAUUUGGUAAAUAUUUUCUUAACUCUUCUUGAACUGCACUGUUUAAGGACUUGUAAGUAAACAUUUCAUGGUAAGGUCUACACUUGUUGUAUUCGGUGCAUGUGACAAAGGUUGAUUUGAUUCAACAGCUGAUAUGACUACCUCACCACCACCUGAAAAUGGUAAGAUCCAAUAGACAGAAUUACAAAGGUCAAACUGCCAUGUUUGUGCAAUUAAACAGUUUGUGAUUUUCUGUUCCCAUAGGUUCAUUGUUCGUCGGAGUCAUUGUCAUUUUAGUUAUUGGUACAUUUCAUUGAAAAGUGGGGGGGGGGGGACAAGCCUUUUGCUCCCUUGUUUCUUGCCAAUGGAAUGCUCUCCCUUACCCUCUGAGUGCUGCUCCACCAAUCCAAGCUUUUAAAAUGGGCCUUUAAAACCCACUUCUACAGACUUUUUCUCAUAGGUCUAAUCCCAAUCUGAAAACUGUUUUUUUUUUUGUGCAUCUAGCCCAUUUGCAUUUUUCUUUGCUUAAGUAGAGCCUUGAGAAGGACUCUAAGGAAAAGCACUAUGCACAUUAAAUGCAUUAUUAUUAAUAUUAGAUGGCUCUGCUACUGCUUUUCCUGUCGCCGCUGGCAUGGCUGUAGUUAAUCCUUUACUUGUAUUGCUAAAGUACUUCUACAGAAUAUGUCUUAUAAACAUGAAUUUGUAUAUUUUGUGAAGCGGGUCUUGCAGGCAUAACUAAUAUCAAUGAUUGCUUGAGGGCUAAGCUUUGAUGCUGCUGUAUCUGCUGCUGCUCUUGCCAUGGUCUCCUGUAUUCUUCUUCUGUUUAUUUCCUGGGCUUGAUUGCCUGACACUGCAGGGAUUAUCCUGUUACGAGGUGAGAUAUUAGUUUCUUUAGAAUAUCUUCCACAUUAUAUUCACCUGAUACUUAAUCAGUUCCAUGUUGAAAUUAUUGCUUCAUCUAUAGUUCCAGGUGCAGUUUAGCACCAUUAGAGCUUGCAUUACUCCUCUCAAAUGCUAGGAUCACAGUAUUAAGUCUUUGAAAGUAAUGUUUUUGAUUAAUUGGCACUUUUCUCUGUCAGGCUUUAUUGGUGUCGUUGUUGCAGUCUAUUUGAUCAGACAAAAGCAGCAGGGUGCCAGUAGAAACCAGUAAGUCUAAUAUUCAUGGUUUUAAUCAUAAUCAGAUGUAAGAUAUAUUGCGUGAUUACUGCUGCAUGUUUUGCUGCAGAGAUGAAGAGACUGAGAUGAGUGCUCUGAACAACGGUAUCAAUCAGAAUGGAGGUCCUGCCAAUAGAGACCAUAAUGAAGAGGUGGCUGUGAACAUGUUUGACAAUGGGGGAGCCAUCGGCAGUAAUGAGGGCCCGUGGAGCUGUCUCCGGCAGCAUGGUUAGCAAAGAGACUAUGGUACUAAUUGACCUGGCUCGUCUAUGAAGUGCCACAUUUUGAACAUGAACAUAAAAAACACAUCUUACAUUUUCAUUUCAACAGAGUGCGUGUUUGUGUAACUUGUGUUUUCAACAUAUUUCAGUGUGGAACAUAGAUGGCAUAAGACCCUGAUUUUAUUGAUCAGUGAAAAUGGAAUGCAAAUUAUUAAGGGAACUGCUUUGGGGCUUCACAUUUUUUGCUUUUUUUCCCAUCCUAUGGCUUACCUGUCCAUAUUUGUUCAAAUAAAUGAAAGAAUUAUGAACAAUUAGGUUGUCAUUCAAUCAACUCUAUGUUAAUUGCAGCAAUUAUAUAUGAGUUAUUCUACUUUUAAUUGUAGCCCUUGAGAUUUUGAGUGAACUCUGAUUUGGUUUUCACAUGCAUUUCUUUAUCCUUACUAGCAGAUUUUGAAAGUUUUAUGUUGAUACUUCACUUGAAUAGCUGUAGACACAUGACCUUAUACAUUUUUUAUCAUUAUGUAAUCUUUUGGGUAAGUUUGAGGAAAUCUCCUUGUAACCUGUCAAUAAUAAAACCUCAUAACACACUGUGUUUAACAUUCAUAAAACCCUACCAGCUGUUCUUCGUUGACUGUGCUUUAGGAGGAGAAACUUUAAUGCACUAUUCACAUUGGCGUUUGAAGUGGAAUGACACCCUGGUGCAGCGUUCAAGAGCGUGUCCCAA